rnacentral:lncRNA from 1 species
ACUUCACAUAAAACCACAGGAAGCUGGCUUCUCAGGAAGCCUCUUUUCCUCUAGCUUGAAUCUGGCUAGGAGAGCACAGGGCUCCCUUUUCUGCCUGGGAACUUGUCCCAGAGGACAAGCAAGGUGGGAAGUGUUUAGGAGACUCAGGGCUUCUGAGGGUUGCAUCCCUGACAGACUCUUACCCUGGGGAGCCUGUUGGGUGGCGGUUGGUGGGGCUCGGAAACUCCGAGGACUGGUGGCUGGCUCUGACUCGUCUGUGGAGAGCCCACUGUCAGCCUCGGCCUCCAGGGAGCCAAUGGUCUUCUCCAGGAAGAGCAGACACUCCUUCUCUUCAGCUGACAGGAAGUCGUAGCUGCUGUCACUCUGCUGGAAGAAGGAGCUAUGAGACAAGCCAAUGGGGCGUGACUAUUCUUACUGGUGUCUUCCAGUCAGAAACAGGAUGAUGUCUCUGUGUCCCCAACCU